rnacentral:rRNA from 1 species
ACCUAUAGCCAUACCACCCGGAAUGUAUCCCAUCUCAUCUGAUCUCAGAAGCUAAGCAGGGUCAGGUCUGGUGUAGUACUUAGUACUUGGAUGGCAGAAAUAUCCUGAAUGGAAUGGAAU